rnacentral:rRNA from 1 species
CCCGGGUCUUGUACACACCGCCCGUCACACCACGAGAGUUUGUAACACCCGAAGUCGGUGGGGUAACCGCAAGGAGCCAGCCGCCUAAGGUGGGACAGAUGAUUGGGGUG